UACGUAGGGUGCGAGCGUUGUCCGGAAUUACUGGGCGUAAAGGGCGCGUAGGCGGUCCUGAUCGUCGGAUGUGAAAGGCCUGGGCUCAACCUGGGAAUGGCAUCCGAUACGGCGGGACUGGAGUGUGGGAGAGGUUGGUGGAAUUCCCAGUGUAGAGGUGAAAUUCGUAGAUAUUGGGAAGAACACCGGUGGCGAAGGCGGCCUGCUGGGCAGUAGCUGACGCUGAGGCGCGACAGCGUGGGGAGCAAACAGG
rnacentral:rRNA from 1 species